AUUGAACGCUGGCGGCAUGCCUUACACAUGCAAGUCGAACGGCAGCACGGGUGCUUGCCCCUGGUGGCGAGUGGCUAACGGGUGAGUAGUACAUCGGAACAUGUCCUGUAGUGGGGGAUAGCCCGGCGAAAGCCGGAUUAAUACCGCAUACGAUCCACGGAUGAAAGCGGGGGACCUUCGGGCCUCGCGCUAUAGGGUUGGCCGAUGGCUGAUUAGCUAGUUGGUGGGGUAAAGGCCUACCAAGGCGACGAUCAGUAGCUGGUCUGAGAGGACGACCAGCCACACUGGGACUGAGACACGGCCCAGACUCCUACGGGAGGCAGCAGUGGGGAAUUUUGGACAAUGGGCGAAAGCCUGAUCCAGCAAUGCCGCGUGUGUGAAGAAGGCCUUCGGGUUGUAAAGCACUUUUGUCCGGAAAGAAAUCCUUGACUCUAAUACAGUCGGGGGAUGACGGUACCGGAAGAAUAAGCACCGGCUAACUACGUG
rnacentral:rRNA from 1 species